rnacentral:rRNA from 1 species
CGAGCACGCGCGUGUGGCAUAUCAAUAAGCGGAGGAAAAGAAACUAACAAGGAUUCCCUUAGUAACGGCGAGGUGAAGCGGGAAGAGCUCAAAUUUGAAAUCUUCAAGGUUCUACCUUGACGAAUUGUAGUUUAUAGAAGUGUUUUCUGUUAGUGGAGUGGCAAAGGUUCUUUGGAAUAGGACAUCAUAGAGGGUGAGAAUCCCGUAUUUGGUCAUUCCUUCUAGCUUUGUGAUACACUUUCAAAGAGUCGGAUUGUUUGGGAAUGCAGUCCAAAAUGGGUGGUAAAUUUCAUCUAAAGCUAAAUAUUGGCGAGAGACCGAUAGCGAACAAGUACCGUGAGGGAAAGAUGAAAAGAACUUUGAAAAGAGAGUUAAACAGUACGUGAAAUUGUCAAAAGGGAAGCGUUUGACACCAGUGUUGUUUUUCCGAAAAUCAAUUACGAAUGUUUUAGUUUUUGAGGAGUUAUGACUUCAUCGGCUUGCUCCUUUCUUUAUGAAACUUUCUUAAUGCACUUUUCGGUUAACAAGUCAACAUCAAUUUCUUUUGUUGUAAAAGGGUAUGAGGAAGGUGGCUUUCUUUUCGGAGAAAGUGUUUAUAGCCUUGUACCUCUGCAAUCGGAGAGAUUGAGGUCUGCAGCGUAGAUCCCUUCGGGGUUAGAUACAUUUGUGCUAAGCUAUAGCUUUUCAUAGACAACUUGUUGACUAUGAUUUAGUCAUUGUAGCUUACUCGCUUACUGCUAUUUUACCUACGCUUAGGAUGUUGAUGUGAUACUGCGAGCA